rnacentral:snoRNA from 1 species
AAGAUCAUACUUCACAGGAUCAUUUCUGUAGUAUAUCUUCACAUUCUCUCUACUUAACAGUUGAGUUGAUGCAGCCAUGAUGAAGAGGAAUAAUCCUCUUUCCUGAGCGUGAGGACGACUUGUUUAAUUGACAUUUAAUUGGUCAAUUAUUCAGUCAUCGAUGAUCGUUCACCUUUUGCAUUAUGUGCAAGAGGCCUGGAAAGUUGGGUAUUCUGAGUGGU